rnacentral:tRNA from 1 species
GCUAGGGUUGUGGCUCAGUGGUAGAGAGCUCGCCUAGCAUGUGUGAGGCCCUGGGUUCAAUUCUCAGCUCUGCA